AGUGAACGCUGGCGGCAGGCCUAAUACAUGCAAGUCGAACGGCAGCACAGCAGAGCUUGCUCUGUGGGUGGCGAGUGGCGGACGGGUGAGGAAUACGUGGGAAUCUGCCCAGUCGGGGGGGAUAACGUAGGGAAACUUACGCUAAUACCGCAUGCGCCCUUCGGGGAAAGCCGGGGACCGUUCGGGCCUGGCGCGAUUGGAUGAGCCCACGUCGGAGUAGCUAGUUGGCGGGGUAAAGGCCCGACCAAGGCGACGAUCCGUAGCUGGUCUGAGAGGAUGAUCAGCCACACUGGAACUGAGACACGGUCCAGACUCCUACGGGAGGCAGCAGUAGGGAAUAUUGGACAAU
rnacentral:rRNA from 1 species